UACGAAGGGGGCUAGCGUUGCUCGGAAUCACUGGGCGUAAAGCGCACGUAGGCGGAUUGUUAAGUCAGGGGUGAAAUCCUGGAGCUCAACUCCAGAACUGCCUUUGAUACUGGCGAUCUCGAGUCCGGGAGAGGUGAGUGGAACUGCGAGUGUAGAGGUGAAAUGCGCAGAUAUCAGGAAGAACACCCGUGGCGAAGGCGGUUCUCUGGGACGGUACUGACGCUGAGACGCGAAAGCGUGGGGAGCGAACAGG
rnacentral:rRNA from 1 species